rnacentral:rRNA from 1 species
AUACGUAGGGUGCGAGCGUUGUCCGGAAUUACUGGGCGUAAAGAGCUCGUAGGUGGUUUGUCGCGUCGUCUGUGAAAUUCCGGGGCUUAACUCCGGGCGUGCAGGCGAUACGGGCAUAACUUGAGUACUGUAGGGGAGACUGGAAUUCCUGGUGUAGCGGUGAAAUGCGCAGAUAUCAGGAGGAACACCGGUGGCGAAGGCGGGUCUCUGGGCAGUAACGGACGCUGAGGAGCGAAAGCAUGGGUAGCGAACAGGAUUAGAUACCCUGGUAGUCCAUGCCGUAAACGGUGGGCGCUAGGUGUAGGGGUCUUCCACGACUUCUGUGCCGUAGCUAACGCAUUAAGCGCCCCGCCUGGGGAGUACGGCCGCAAGGCUAAAACUUAAAGGAAUUGACGGGG